rnacentral:rRNA from 1 species
GUUAAGCGACUAAGCGUACACGGUGGAUGCCCUGGCAGUCAGAGGCGAUGAAGGACGUGCUAAUCUGCGAUAAGCGUCGGUAAGGUGAUAUGAACCGUUAUAACCGGCGAUUUCCGAAUGGGGAAACCCAGUGUGUUUCGACACACUAUCAUUAACUGAAUCCAUAGGUUAAUGAGGCGAACCGGGGGAACUGAAACAUCUAAGUACCCCGAGGAAAAGAAAUCAACCGAGAUUCCCCCAGUAGCGGCGAGCGAACGGGGAGCAGCCCAGAGCCUGAAUCAGUGUGUGUGUUAGUGGAAGCGUCUGGAAAGGCGCGCGAUACAGGGUGACAGCCCCGUACACAAAAAUGCACAUGCUGUGAGCUCGAUGAGUAGGGCGGGACACGUGGUAUCCUGUCUGAAUAUGGGGGGACCAUCCUCCAAGGCUAAAUACUCCUGACUGACCGAUAGUGAACCAGUACCGUGAGGGAAAGGCGAAAAGAACCCCGGCGAGGGGAGUGAAAAAGAACCUGAAACCGUGUACGUACAAGCAGUGGGAGCACGCUUAGGCGUGUGACUGCGUACCUUUUGUAUAAUGGGUCAGCGACUUAUAUUCUGUAGCAAGGUUAACCGAAUAGGGGAGCCGAAGGGAAACCGAGUCUUAACUGGGCGUUAAGUUGCAGGGUAUAGACCCGAAACCCGGUGAUCUAGCCAUGGGCAGGUUGAAGGUUGGGUAACACUAACUGGAGGACCGAACCGACUAAUGUUGAAAAAUUAGCGGAUGACUUGUGGCUGGGGGUGAAAGGCCAAUCAAACCGGGAGAUAGCUGGUUCUCCCCGAAAGCUAUUUAGGUAGCGCCUCGUGAAUUCAUCUCCGGGGGUAGAGCACUGUUUCGGCAAGGGGGUCAUCCCGACUUACCAACCCGAUGCAAACUGCGAAUACCGGAGAAUGUUAUCACGGGAGACACACGGCGGGUGCUAACGUCCGUCGUGAAGAGGGAAACAACCCAGACCGCCAGCUAAGGUCCCAAAGUCAUGGUUAAGUGGGAAACGAUGUGGGAAGGCCCAGACAGCCAGGAUGUUGGCUUAGAAGCAGCCAUCAUUUAAAGAAAGCGUAAUAGCUCACUGGUCGAGUCGGCCUGCGCGGAAGAUGUAACGGGGCUAAACCAUGCACCGAAGCUGCGGCAGCGACGCUUAUGCGUUGUUGGGUAGGGGAGCGUUCUGUAAGCCUGUGAAGGUGUGCUGUGAGGCAUGCUGGAGGUAUCAGAAGUGCGAAUGCUGACAUAAGUAACGAUAAAGCGGGUGAAAAGCCCGCUCGCCGGAAGACCAAGGGUUCCUGUCCAACGUUAAUCGGGGCAGGGUGAGUCGACCCCUAAGGCGAGGCCGAAAGGCGUAGUCGAUGGGAAACAGGUUAAUAUUCCUGUACUUGGUGUUACUGCGAAGGGGGGACGGAGAAGGCUAUGUUGGCCGGGCGACGGUUGUCCCGGUUUAAGCGUGUAGGCUGGUUUUCCAGGCAAAUCCGGAAAAUCAAGGCUGAGGCGUGAUGACGAGGCACUACGGUGCUGAAGCAACAAAUGCCCUGCUUCCAGGAAAAGCCUCUAAGCAUCAGGUAACAUCAAAUCGUACCCCAAACCGACACAGGUGGUCAGGUAGAGAAUACCAAGGCGCUUGAGAGAACUCGGGUGAAGGAACUAGGCAAAAUGGUGCCGUAACUUCGGGAGAAGGCACGCUGAUAUGUAGGUGAAGUCCCUCGCGGAUGGAGCUGAAAUCAGUCGAAGAUACCAGCUGGCUGCAACUGUUUAUUAAAAACACAGCACUGUGCAAACACGAAAGUGGACGUAUACGGUGUGACGCCUGCCCGGUGCCGGAAGGUUAAUUGAUGGGGUCAGCGCAAGCGAAGCUCUUGAUCGAAGCCCCGGUAAACGGCGGCCGUAACUAUAACGGUCCUAAGGUAGCGAAAUUCCUUGUCGGGUAAGUUCCGACCUGCACGAAUGGCGUAAUGAUGGCCAGGCUGUCUCCACCCGAGACUCAGUGAAAUUGAACUCGCUGUGAAGAUGCAGUGUACCCGCGGCAAGACGGAAAGACCCCGUGAACCUUUACUAUAGCUUGACACUGAACAUUGAGCCUUGAUGUGUAGGAUAGGUGGGAGGCUUAGAAGUGUGGACGCCAGUCUGCAUGGAGCCGACCUUGAAAUACCACCCUUUAAUGUUUGAUGUUCUAACGUUGACCCGUAAUC